UUCAGAUACAGCUUGUAAGGACCUAGAAAAAAAAAUCUUACUUUUUCUAAAACCAUUUUCCCUCUCUAAAACUUUAACCCUAACUUUCUCUGCCUUCUCUCUACCAAAUCUUGAAAUUUAACCGGUGUAUUGUCAUUUAGGUGGUGAUUAUGCGUUUCCGGAGUCGAGAGCUUCGACUUGAACCGAUCAAGUUUAGUUUUUAGGGGGUAUUGUAGCUGCGGGUCUUUGAGCUGAGCAAAGAAGUUUCAAGAUGUUGUUGAGGAGAUACCUUCGGAGCAAGUACUGGAGGAUGCUGAUGCUGCAGUAUAGUCUUUUUAGGAUUUCUAAAUUUAAGUUGGUGUUAUUUUGAAAUACUCUAAAUUGUUUAAGUUUUAAGUUCUGUCCUUUAUAUGGAUGACUGUAAUAUCAACUACGGAAUUACUAUUUUACUCUGACUGUUCUCUUUAUUGGAAUGAUGACG
rnacentral:sRNA from 1 species